UGGCACCAGGUGCUCUAACUACAGGUGGGA
rnacentral:piRNA from 1 species